UACAGAGGGGGCAAGCGUUAUUCGGAAUUAUUGGGCGUAAAGGGCGCGUAGGCGGUUUUUUAAGUCGGAUGUGUAAUCCCCGGGCUUAACCUGGGAACUGCAUCCGAGACUGGAAGACUAGAGUACUGGAGGGGGUGGUGGAAUUCCUCGUGUAGCGGUGAAAUGCGUAGAGAUGAGGAGGAACACCAGUGGCGAAGGCGACUACCUGGACUGAUACUGACACUGAGGUGCGAAAGCGUGGGGAGCAAACAGGAUUAGAAA
rnacentral:rRNA from 1 species